rnacentral:rRNA from 1 species
AGGGCACCACCAGGAGUGGAGCCUGCGGCUUAAUUUGACUCAACACGGGAAACCUCACCCGGCCCGGACACGGACAGGAUUGACAGAUCGAUAGCUCUUUCUCGAUUCCGUGGGUGGUGGUGCAUGGCCGUUCUUAGUUGGUGGAGCGAUUUGUCUGGUUAAUUCCGAUAACGAACGAGACUCUGGCAUGCUAACUAGUUACGCGACCCCCCGAGCGGUCGGCGUCCCCCAACUUCUUAGAGGGACAAGUGGCGUUCAGCCACCCGAGAUUGAGCAAUAACAGGUCUGUGAUGCCCUUAGAUGUCCGGGGCUGCACGCGCGCUACACUGACUGGCUCAGCGUGUGCCUACCCUACGCCGGCAGGCGCGGGUAACCCGUUGAACCCCAUUCGUGAUGGGGAUCGGGGAUUGCAAUUAUUCCCCAUGAACGAGGAAUUCCCAGUAAGUGCGGGUCAUAAGCUUGCGUUAAUUAAGUCCCUGCCCUUUGUACACACCGCCCGUCGCUACUACCGAUUGGAUG